UGUCCAGGGAUGGGAUUCGAACCCACAGUGUUUCGCUUACCGGGCAGAUGCCAUGUCCACUAGGCUACCCAUCCCUGGAC
rnacentral:tRNA from 1 species